CCUACGGGUGGCUGCAGUGAGGAAUAUUGGUCAAUGGACGAGAGUCUGAACCAGCCAAGUAGCGUGCAGGAUGACUGCCCUCUGGGUUGUAAACUUCUUUUAUAUGGGAAUUAAAUGUUCCAUGUGUGGGAUUUUGUCUGUAUCAUUUGAAUACAGCUCGGCUAACUCCGUGCCAGCAGCCGCGGUUAUACGGAGGCUCCGAGCGUUAUCCGGAUUUAUUGGGUUUAAAGGGAGCGUAGGUGGAUUGUUAAGUCAGUUGUGAAAGUUUGCGGCUCAACCGUAAAAUUGCAGUUGAAACUGGCAGUCUAGAGUACAGUAGAGGUGGGCGGAAUUCGUGGUGUAGCGGUGAAAUGCGUAGAUAUCACGAAGAACUCCGAUUGCGAAGGCAGCUCACUGGACUGCAACUGACACUGAGGCGCGAAAGUGUGGGUAGCAAACAGGAUUAGAUACCCGAGUAGUC
rnacentral:rRNA from 1 species